AUGAUUGCCGAGUGGAGUGUUGAGUGGAAGCCUUGUGUUUCCAACUUUCUUCCUCUGUUUCCUUUCAAUCGUAUUGAAUUUACUUCUCUGUUUUACAGGCUUGGAGGAACAUUGUUGUUAUGUGUAAUAUUCGGUCUUCAAUUUGUGAAUAGGAAUCAAGGUUUGGCUAUUGGUUAUUGGCCAUGGAUGAUGCGAAUUAGAAGGUGGUGA